GACGAACGCUGGCGGCGUGCUUAACACAUGCAAGUCGAACGGAAAGGCCCUGCUUUUGUGGGGUGCUCGAGUGGCGAACGGGUGAGUAACACGUGAGUAACCUGCCCUUGACUUUGGUAUAACUUCAGGAAACUGGGGCUAAUACCGGAUAGGAGCUCCUGCUGCAUGGUGGGGGUUGGAAAGUUUCGGCGGUUGGGGAUGGACUCGCGGCUUAUCAGCUUGUUGGUGGGGUAGUGGCUUACCAAGGCUUGAAGGGUUGCCGGCCUGAGAGGGUGACCGGCCACAUUGGGACUGAGAUACGGCCCAGACUCCUACGGGAGGCAGCAGUGGGGAAUAUUGCACAAUGGGCGGAAGCCGGAUGAAGCAACGCCGCGUGCGGGAUGACGGCCUUCGGGUUGUAAACCGCUUUCGCCUGUGACGAAGCGUGAGUGACGGUAAUGGGUAAAGAAGCACCGGCUAACUACGUG
rnacentral:rRNA from 1 species